AGCCAUCGAUGUUGGAGAUGUCAAUGAAGUCUUGGUGCUCAAAUUGGUCGAUUGCGUAUUCGGCUAGUGUGUUGGGAGCUUUACCGUAUCCCUUGCAUUCGAGGACUCCACCGCAGUCGCCUGUCUCGCAUGAGCCUUUCCCGGAGGCAUCGAAAUUGCAUUUGGUUCGAGCCCAAAUUCGGGCUUGUGUGGUUCCGGAGGCUGCAGUGAUUUGCCAUGCUUGACCUUGGUCAAGUCUCUUGCCACCACCCGGAGAUGCGGCAGCCCAAACGGUGUAAGGGCAGUUGUUUCUUAUAUCAAAUGUGGCUGCAUGGGCUAAGCUGAAAAGGGUUAAGAAGAGGAAAGAAAGGGUUGGCAAGGUUUUGAAGGGAUUCAUCGUGGAUGAAAUACACAAGAGUUGGCUAAAUUGUAUAUGUCGUAGUAAUAUGG
rnacentral:lncRNA from 1 species